UCCCUGGUGGUCCAGUGGUUAGGACUCUGCCUGCCAAUGCAGGGAGUGCAGGUUCGAUCCCUGGUUGGGGAU
rnacentral:tRNA from 1 species